rnacentral:rRNA from 1 species
UACGUAGGGUGCAAGCGUUGUCCGGAAUUAUUGGGCGUAAAGAGCUCGUAGGCGGUUUGUCGCGUCUGCUGUGAAAACCCGAGGCUCAACCUCGGGCCUGCAGUGGGUACGGGCAGACUAGAGUGCGGUAGGGGAGAUUGGAAUUCCUGGUGUAGCGGUGGAAUGCGCAGAUAUCAGGAGGAACACCGAUGGCGAAGGCAGAUCUCUGGGCCGUAACUGGACGCUGAGGAGCGAAAAGCAUGGGGAGCGAACAGG